rnacentral:rRNA from 1 species
AGGACGAACGCUGGCGGCGUGCCUAACACAUGCAAGUGGAGCGACGAACCAGGCUUCGGCCUGGGGCAAAGCCGCGAACGGGUGAGUAACACGUGGGUAACCUGCCCCGAUGAUUGGGACAACCCGAGGAAACUCGGGCUAAUACCGAAUGUGCCCUACGGCCAUAAGGCCGCUGGGGAAAGGAAGCUUCGGCCUCCGCAUCGGGAUGGGCCCGCGGCCCAUUAGCUUGUUGGUGAGGUAACGGCUCACCAAGGCGACGAUGGGUAGCUGGUCUGAGAGGACGAUCAGCCACACUGGGACUGAGACACGGCCCAGACUCCUACGGGAGGCAGCAGUGGGGAAUCUUGCGCAAUGCGCGAAAGCGUGACGCAGCAACGCCGCGUGGGGGAAGAAGGCCUUCGGGUUGUAAACCCCUUUCAGUUGGGACGAAGCUUCGCCGGUGAAUAGCCGGUUGGAGUGACGGUACCUUCAGAAGAAGCCCCGGCUAACUACGUGCCAGCAGCCGC